ACUGCCCAUACCACGCUGGGGAGUGGGAUCCCCCGUUACAAAGGGGUUAGCCGUAUUUCUAAAGCCAAAGUCAAGCCACUGGCUAAGCCCGGAUAAUACUUUUCCCGCGUAAAGUUUGUAUUCGCGAUGUUCGCAUCGAUUCUUCGUUUUUUUUCGCCAGUUUCUUUUGCAGUUUUGUUUCCGUUCAAGUCCGCCUAAGUGUUCCUUUUCAAUCGGGGGGAUGGCGUCGGAAGCGGCAGAUGACUCGGAACGUGGCCGAGCUAACCGGAACUGCUCUUAAAUGUGAGCAACCCUUCGCUGCCUAAAAAGGAGGGGCAGCCACCAGCUAGGUCAACUUCUGCAG
rnacentral:misc_RNA from 1 species